GAGAAGUCCAGUCUCGACGGAUAACGCCCGUCCACUCGCUCUCGUCCCGAGCAUCACCGUUCAGACACUCUCACGCUGCAUUGUUAUCUUUUUCCGAAAUAUAUUUUCCCGUUUGAGUUGGAGAGAAUCUGGUUUGCUCAAUGGAUACCCUUUCACAGAUCAGAUGCUUCACCACCACUUCCAACUUCCCGUUUUCAAGAACAACUCAAAUUCCUCGUUCCAGACUUCCAACAGUCUCUGUCCUACGAACAAGACCCCGUCCAGUCAGUGGAGUUGUAGAAGAGGACGUUUUGCAAACGUUUCUUAAGGAGAGAAAAUUAAGUGGAGAUUUUAUAUCAAAAGCUUCUGAUAUAUUUUGGCAGAGUGAGGCCAAGCAAUUUGUUACUGCUGAUGCUGUUGAACCUUCUGCCACUCCUCGACAGGCAGAGCAGGUCAUUGAAACUGACAAUGAUGGUGGGUUUUUGAAACUGUCAAGUACCCUUGAAUGGGUAUCUGGUGACAACUCUGUACCAGAGAAUAAGAAAGCCAUUGCCAAGGUAUCACGGGAUGACAGUGAAAGGAGAAGGAUACUGAACCUUCUCGAAUAUGAAGCGAUCAAGAGGGAGAUGAUGUUUUUAUCUGUUGGUAUUGGAACCGUGUGCACUGGGUAUUGUAUGAUAGCCUUAUCAGUCCAGGCAGCCAUUAGUUACGCGACAGGAGCUCUUUUCAGUGCAGUUGCUUGUACCUUCAGCUCUUAUACCAACAUGCAGACAACCUAUCCAGAGAAACUAUUCCUGAAGUUUUCCUACGAAAGAAAUCAAAGAAAAUUGGAAUCAGAAGUGAGGACCUUCAGGAUUCGAUAGAGAAGUCAUUUAAGGGUAGUGGCAUUGCUCUUUCAUCUCCGAGGCUUGUGAUCCCAGCUGCAAUAUAUGGAUUGUGGCUCCUGUCUCAUCGGUAUUUUGGCAAUGACUUCUUUGAUUUCCAGCUUGUACCAGCGAUGCUUGGGAUGUUUGUCUAUAAAGCUGCUGCUCUUGUUCAAGUCUAUAGAGAUAAUGAGGACCUGCAAUUUAUCUUUCCAGAAAAUGGAGAUGGCUCACCUAACUGAAAUUCUUAUCUUAUCGAUAUCAAUGCCUUCAUUGGUAACUUUUUGAAAAGAAGAGUUGGAUGCUUAUUGGCUUCCAUAUUUAGUUCUUCCCGUGUGGAACGCACUGCAUAUAUUCAAACGAGGUAAGCACUUCAAGGUGUUCAAUGUGAAAUAACACAAUUUUUGGAGCUGGUUCAGGCAGGGUUGGCCUUUUCAUGUUAAAACUCUGCAAGUUCUGCUGGUAAGGGACUAAAGCCUAUACUUCUCCAGCAAGAACUGCUCAGUAGGGGUAAUUCUUCAAUAGUACAUCUGUUCCAAACCCGGCUGUGGUGCCCAAAAUAUGUCUAUCAUUUUCCCAUAUAUUAGAGUUUGUUGCUGUCAGAAACUGUUGUAGUUGUGUGAUAUUUGAGUAAUUCUCUCAUAUACUCUUUCACAAUGGUGUAAAAUAGCUCUUCUUACAUGCAUCCAAGAAAGAUAAGAAAAUCCUACAUAUUGAUGAAA